GGAGGAUUGGCAGAAUGGCAAUGCACGGGUUUCGAAAACCCGCGGGCUAACGCCCUUAGAGGUUCGACUCCUCUAUCCUCCG
rnacentral:tRNA from 1 species